rnacentral:rRNA from 1 species
AGUGAACGCUGGCGGUAGGCCUAACACAUGCAAGUCGAACGGCAGCACAGUAAGAGCUUGCUCUUACGGGUGGCGAGUGGCGGACGGGUGAGGAAUACAUCGGAAUCUACUUUUUCGUGGGGGAUAACGUAGGGAAACUUACGCUAAUACCGCAUACGACCUACGGGUGAAAGCAGGGGAUCUUCGGACCUUGCGCGAUUGAAUGAGCCGAUGUCGGAUUAGCUAGUUGGCUGGGUAAAGGCCCACCAAGGCGACGAUCCGUAGCUGGUCUGAGAGGAUGAUCAGCCACACUGGAACUGAGACACGGUCCAGACUCCUACGGGAGGCAGCAGUGGGGAAUAUUGGACAAUGGGCGCAAGCCUGAUCCAGCCAUACCGCGUGGGUGAAGAAGGCCUUCGGGUUGUAAAGCCCUUCUGUUGGGAAAGAAAAGCAGCAGGUUAAUACCCCGCUGUUCUGACGGUACCCAAAGAAUAAGCACCGGCUAACUUCGUG